rnacentral:rRNA from 1 species
GACGAACGCUGGCAGCGUGCUUAACACAUGCAAGUCGAACGGAAAGGCCUGCUUUCCCUUGUGGAUUGCGGGUACUCGAGUGGCGAACGGGUGAGUAACACGUGAGUGAUCUGCCCCCAACUUGGGUAUAAGCCUGGGAAACUGGGGCUAAUUCCCGAUAGGACUGCAGGGUGGUGCCUGUGGUGGAACACGUUUUUCUAGUGGUUGGGGAUGAGCUCGCGGCCUAUCAGCUUGUUGGUGGGGUAAUGGCCUGCCAAGGCGGCGACGGGUAGCCAGCCUGACAGGGUGGACCUGGACAGUGAGACUGAGAAGCCACCCUGAGUCCGAGGGGAGGCCGCGGUUGGGAAGAGAGGAAGAAGGGCGGAAUCCUGAAGCAGCGGGGCCGCGUUGGUGAUGCCAGGCUGCGGGAGGUAUGCUGCUUUCGAGGGCGUGGAGGCCACCUGGUUGGAAGGGUAGUGACGGUAGUGGAAGAAUAAGCACCGGCUAACUACGUG